rnacentral:rRNA from 1 species
GGAAGUAAAAGUCGUAACAAGGUUUCCGUAGGUGAACCUGCGGAAGGAUCAUUACCGAGUGAGGGUCCCUCGGGGCCCAACCUCCCAUCCGUGUUGUCCUGACACCUGUUGCUUCGGCGGGCCCGCCGUGGUUCACGCCCCGGCCGCCGGGGGGUUCACGCCCCCGGGCCCGCGCCCGCCGAAGACCCCUGGAACGCUGCCUGGAAGGUUGCCGUCUGAGUAUACAAUCAAUCAAUUAAAACUUUCAACAACGGAUCUCUUGGUUCCGGCAUCGAUGAAGAACGCAGCGAAAUGCGAUAAGUAAUGUGAAUUGCAGAAUUCCGUGAAUCAUCGAAUCUUUGAACGCACAUUGCGCCCCCUGGCAUUCCGGGGGGCAUGCCUGUCCGAGCGUCAUUGCUAACCCUCCAGCCCGGCUGGUGUGUUGGGCCGCCGUCCCCCCUCCCCGGGGGACGGGCCCGAAAGGCAGCGGCGGCGUCGCGUCCGGUCCUCGAGCGUAUGGGGCUCUGUCACACGCUUCAGUAGAACCGGCCGGCUUGCUGGCCACACGACCUUCACGGGUCACCUAUAUUUUUCUCUUAGGUUGACCUCGGAUCAGGUAGGGAUACCCGCUGAACUUAAGCAUAUCAAUAAGCGGAG